rnacentral:precursor_RNA from 13 species
CAGUUUGGAGGGAACAUCAUGAUUCUGGUUUUAGUCAUGAAAGCGUUUUUUCAGUAUUAAUAAUUGGGAAAUCGUUGUCAUGACUGAGCCCAUGAUCAUAUUAUGUAUGCAGCAUCCAU